UGGGGAAUAUUGGACAAUGGGCGCAAGCCUGAUCCAGCAAUGCCGCGUGAGUGAUGAAGGCCUUAGGGUUGUAAAGCUCUUUCGCACGCGACGAUGAUGACGGUAGCGUGAGAAGAAGCCCCGGCUAACUUCGUGCCAGCAGCCGCGGUAAUACGAAGGGGGCUAGCGUUGUUCGGAAUUACUGGGCGUAAAGGGCGCGUAGGCGGCCUGUUUAGUCAGAAGUGAAAGCCCCGGGCUCAACCUGGGAAUAGCUUUUGAUACUGGCAGGCUUGAGUUCCGGAGAGGAUGGUGGAAUUCCCAGUGUAGAGGUGAAAUUCGUAGAUAUUGGGAAGAACACCGGUGGCGAAGGCGGCCAUCUGGACGGACACUGACGCUGAGGCGCGAAAGCGUGGGGAGCAAACAGGAUUAGAUACCCUGGUAGUCCACGCCGUAAGCGAUGAAUGCUAGACGUCGGGGUGCAUGCACUUCGGUGUCGCCGCUAACGCAUUAAGCAUUCCGCCUGGGGAGUACGGCCGCAAGGUUAAAACUCAAAGG
rnacentral:rRNA from 1 species